AACGCGAAGAACCUUACCUACUCUUGACAUCCAGAGAAGCUUUUAGAGAUAGAGGCGUGCCUUCGGGAACUUUGAAACAGGUGCUGCAUGGCUGUCGUCAGCUCGUGUUGUGAAAUGUUGGGUUAAGUCCCGCAACGAGCGCAACCCUUAUCCUUUGUUGCCAGCGAUACGGUCGGGAACUCAAAGGAGACUGCCGGUGAUAAACCGGAGGAAGGUGGGGACGACGUCAAGUCAUCAUGGCCCUUACGAGUAGGGCUACACACGUGCUACAAUGGCGUAUACAGAGAGAGGCGAGCCUGCGAGGGGAAGCGGAACUCAGAAAGUACAUCGAAGUCCGGAUUGGAGUCUGCAACUCGACUCCAUGAAGUCGGAAUCGCCAGUAAUCGCGA
rnacentral:rRNA from 1 species